GAGAAUCAUCUAUAAUUCCUAAUCUGAUGAGAUUAGUUACUCAUAAUAAUAAUUGACAUAACAAUAGUGCUAAGAAAAUUAUACAUGAAUUAAUGAUAAAAAAAAAACACCUUUGAAUAAAGACUCCAAUGGUGCAAUUCCUUGUCUCUAGGUCACAGCCGUAUUCCGCUUUUCGUCCUCUCGUCUGCGUUUGCGAGAUAUCCCCCUUUUGUUAAUAAAGCCCUAUUUAUAUGCUUAGGAAGGAAUAAAUUGUGCCCUGUAACACGUGUAAUCAUCCAUAUGAAUUGUGUGGUUUAGUUGCAUAGGUGGCGUGUGAUUAAAGGGCUAGAUUUCAUCAUGCUGACAUAUUGAUGACGUCACAUCCAAAUCCAAGUGAAGAAUCGCGCCACGAUGAAAUUGUGCCGAGAUGCGAGAAAAACAGUGGCUUGAGCUGUGAUUUAAAAACAAACUUGAUAUUUUUUCUAAGUCUUUUUCUUCUUUUUGCCUUUAGUCUUUAAACUUUCGCUAUGUCAAUUUCUUCAAAUAUUCUUCUCUUUGACCAUGACUUAU
rnacentral:lncRNA from 1 species